UGGGGAAUAUUGGACAAUGGGCGGAAGCCUGAUCCAGCAACGCCGCGUGAGGGAUGACGGCCUUCGGGUUGUAAACCUCUUUCAGUACCGACGAAGCGCAAGUGACGGUAGGUACAGAAGAAGCACCGGCCAACUACGUGCCAGCAGCCGCGGUAAUACGUAGGGUGCGAGCGUUGUCCGGAAUUAUUGGGCGUAAAGGGCUCGUAGGCGGUUUGUCGCGUCGGGAGUGAAAACGCCGUGCUUAACACGGCGCUUGCUUUCGAUACGGGCAGACUAGAGGUAUUCAGGGGAGAACGGAAUUCCUGGUGUAGCGGUGAAAUGCGCAGAUAUCAGGAGGAACACCGGUGGCGAAGGCGGUUCUCUGGGAAUGACCUGACGCUGAGGAGCGAAAGUGUGGGGAGCGAACA
rnacentral:rRNA from 1 species